rnacentral:rRNA from 1 species
AUUGAACGCUGGCGGCAGGCCUAACACAUGCAAGUCGAGCGGUUGAGGUAGCUUGCUACCGAUACAGCGGCGGACGGGUGAGUAAUACAUGGGAAUCUGCCUGGUAGUGGGGGACAACGUUUCGAAAGGAACGCUAAUACCGCAUACGCCCUACGGGGGAAAGGGGGGGAUCUUCGGACCUCUUGCUAUCAGAUGAGCCCAUGUCAGAUUAGCUUGUUGGUGAGGUAAAGGCUCACCAAGGCGACGAUCUGUAACUGGUCUGAAAGGAUGAUCAGUCACACUGGAACUGAGACACGGUCCAGACUCCUACGGGAGGCAGCAGUGGGGAAUAUUGGACAAUGGGCGCAAGCCUGAUCCAGCCAUGCCGCGUGUGUGAAGAAGGCCUUAGGGUUGUAAAGCACUUUCAGUGGGGAGAAAGGCCUUUUACUUAAUACGUAAGAGGAUUGAUGUUACCCACAGAAGAAGCACCGGCUAACUCCGUGCCAGCCGCCGCGGUAA